rnacentral:rRNA from 1 species
AGUGAACGCUGGCGGUUGGCCUAACACAUGCAAGUCGAACGGCAGCACAGUAAGAGCUUGCUCUUACGGGUGGCGAGUGGCGGACGGGUGAGGAAUACAUCGGAAUCUACUUUUUCGUGGGGGAUAACGUAGGGAAACUUACGCUAAUACCGCAUACGACCUACGGGUGAAAGCAGGGGUUCUUCGGACCUUGCGCGAUUGAAUGAGCCGAUGUCGGAUUAGCUAGUUGGCGGGGUAAAGGCCCACCAAGGCGACGAUCCGUAGCUGGUCUGAGAGGAUGAUCAGCCACACUGGAACUGAGACACGGUCCAGACUCCUACGGGAGGCAGCAGUGGGGAAUAUUGGACAAUGGGCGCAAGCCUGAUCCAGCCAUACCGCGUGGGUGAAGAAGGCCUUCGGGUUGUAAAGCCCUUUUGUUGGGAAAGAAAAGCAGCAGGUUAAUACCCCGCUGUUCUGACGGUACCCAAAGAAUAAGCACCGGCUAACUUCGU